GUACCGUGAGGGAAAGGUGAAAAGCACCCCGAUGAGGGGAGUGAAACAGUACCUGAAACGGAUUGCCUACAAGCAGUUGGAGGGUCCUUGAGGCCUGACAGCGUACCUCUUGCAUAAUGGGUCUGUGACUUAAUGUAUCGAGCAAGCUUAAGCCGUUAGGUGUAGGCGCAGCGAAAGCGAGUCUGAAUAGGGCGACCGUAGUUCGAUGUAUUAGACCCGAAACCCGGCGAUCUAGGCAUGACCAGGAUGAAGGUGCGGUAACACGCACUGGAGGUCCGAACCGAUUAACGUUGAAAAGUUACCGGAUGAGUUGUGUUUAGGGGUGAAAGGCCAAUCAAGCCGGGAAAUAGCUGGUUCUCCGCGAAAACUAUUGAGGUAGUGCCUCGGAUGGACACCGUUGGGGGUAGAGCACUGGAUGGGUGCGGGGGUCGCGAGAUCUACCAAACCUAACCAAACUCCGAAUACCAACGAGUGAUAUCCGGGAGACAGACGGCGGGUGCUAAGGUCCGUCGUCAAAAGGGAAACAGCCCUGACCUACAGCUAAGGUCCCCAAGUCACGUCUAAGUGGGAAAGCAUGUGGGAAUCCCAAAACAACCAGGAGGUUGGCUUAGAAGCAGCCAUCCUUUAAAGAAAGCGUAACAGCUCACUGGUCUAAACAAGGGUUCCUGCGGCGAAGAUGUAACGGGGCUCAAGACGUGCACCGAAGCUUUGGGUGUGAUCUUUGAUCACGCGGUAGCGGAGCGUUCCGUAAGCCUGUGAAGCGAUCUGGUAAUGGGUCGUGGAGGUAUCGGAAGUGCGAAUGCAGACAUGAGUAGCGAUAAAGAGGGUGAGAUGCCCUCUCGCCGAAAGACCAAGGGUUCCUGCGCAAGGCUAAUCCGCGCAGGGUGAGCCGGCCCCUAAGACGAGCCCGAAGGGGGUAGUCGAUGGGAACCACGUUAAUAUUCGUGGGCCUGGUGGUGUGUGACGGAUCUCGUGUGUUGUUCUCCCUUAUUGGAUUGGGAGGGCUUCGAAGAGGUUCCAGGAAAUAGCCCCACCGUAUAGACCGUACCCGAAACCGACACAGGUGGACUGGUAGAGUAUACCAAGGCGCUUGAGAGAACGAUGCUGAAGGAACUCGGCAAUUUGCCUCCGUAACUUCGGGAUAAGGAGGCCUCUGUCUUGGGCAACCAGGGCAGAGGGGCACAGACCAGGGGGUGGCGACUGUUUAUCUAAAACACAGGGCUCUGCGAAGUCUGUAAGACGACGUAUAGGGCCUGACGCCUGCCCGGUGCCGGAAGGUUAAGAGGAGAGGUGAGAGCUUUGAAUCGAAGCCCCGGUAAACGGCGGCCGUAACUAUAACGGUCCUAAGGUAGCGAAAUUCCUUGUCGGGUAAGUUCCGACCUGCACGAAUGGCGUAACGAUCUCCCCGCUGUCUCCAGCAUCGGCUCAGUGAAAUUGAAUUCCCCGUGAAGAUGCGGGGUACCUGCGGUCAGACGGAAAGACCCCGUGCACCUUUACUGCAGCUUCAGAGUGGCA
rnacentral:rRNA from 1 species